rnacentral:rRNA from 1 species
AGUGAACGCUGGCGGUAGGCCUAACACAUGCAAGUCGAACGGCAGCACAGUAAGAGCUUGCUCUUACGGGUGGCGAGUGGCGGACGGGUGAGGCAUACAUCGGAAUCUACUUUUUCGUGGGGGAUAACGUAGGGAAACUUACGCUAAUACCGCAUACGACCUACGGGUGAAAGCAGGGGAUCUUCGGACCUUGCGCGAUUGAAUGAGCCGAUGUCGGAUUAGCUAGUUGGCGGGGUAAAGGCCCACCAAGGCGACGAUCCGUAGCUGGUCUGAGAGGAUGAUCGGCCACACUGGAACUGAGACACGGUCCAGACUCCUACGGGAGGCAGCAGUGGGGAAUAUUGGACAAUGGGCGCAAGCCUGAUCCAGCCAUACCGCGUGGGUGAAGAAGGCCUUCGGGUUGUAAAGCCCUUUUGUUGGGAAAGAAAAGCGGCAGGUUAAUACCCCGCUGUUCUGACGGUACCCAAAGAAUAAGCACCGGCUAACUUCGUG